rnacentral:rRNA from 1 species
UACGGAGGGGGCUAGCGUUGUUCGGAAUUACUGGGCGUAAAGCGCACGUAGGCGGUUGUCUAAGUCAGAGGUGAAAGCCCGGAGCUCAACUCCGGAAUUGCCUUUGAGACUGGAUCACCUGAACGUCGGAGAGGUGAGUGGAAUUCCGAGUGUAGAGGUGAAAUUCGUAGAUAUUCGGAAGAACACCAGUGGCGAAGGCGGCUCACUGGACGACUGUUGACGCUGAGGUGCGAAAGCGUGGGGAGCAAACAGG